UGCAUUAUCUUAGUAAUAAUAUUUUUUACUGGGCUAGUUGAGCUCACCCUUUCUUUCAUUGUUCUCUUCAGGAAAUGAGAAUAUAGCUGGGACGAGUCAGGGAAUGGAGUGAUGGUCCGGGAUAAAUGGCUUUAUUAGUCCUCACUAUUCUACGAAAUAAUUUGAUAAUAAUUGUAAUAAGGACACCAUUAAGUGUGGAUAUUGUCUAGAUGACAAUAUUCUUGUUUAAACUUUCAGCUAUGUUUUGUUGUAUUUUACAUGACUGUUGUAUAAUUAAGUUGUAUUUGAAUUUAUGUACCAUGUAUCUGACAACUCAAGAUGGGUGAUGUAUACCUGUUUUGGGGGUGUCACAAAUUUCACCAUGUAUGCGGUACUUCGCAUAGAUAGAUUAUUCCAACAUAAUAAUAAAGAAUGGAAUAACAACUCUUACGAGUAUUGAAAGAAAAUAACUCUCUUCAUGAAUACGAAAGAAUAAUACCCCUUACCUCAGAAGAAGACUGGAUACUGGAAUAGUGAGG
rnacentral:lncRNA from 1 species